AUCCAGCUGACAAGUCCUAAACAAGACGAAACAUGAGUCCUAGAU
rnacentral:hammerhead_ribozyme from 1 species